UCGCUCUUUUUUGUCCAUCGUCAAGUCCGAUCGGGUUUGCCAGCGGAGAAGAGGAUUACAUUUUUCCAUCGUUUUUCUCUUUUAUUGCAUUGGAAAAAUGAGUUGUUCUGCAGUAAACUGUGUUAACCGACAUGUGAAAUCGGGAUCUUUGCAGUUGUUUCGGUAAGUUAUGUUUUUUUAUGAAGUCAUCAGCUUGCUAGCUACAUAACAUUAAACGGUCUGGUUUAAUUUAGCUAAUGGGGUUUACUUACAGAUACCAAGCGGUAAGUUCUGUGCCUUAUUUAAGCGUUUUUAUUAGAAGUUAAACAAUGAGGAAACCCCUUAAAAUCCGCCUUCUUUUUAUAACAAUAUUAUGACUACGUGACUUUGAAUUUGAAUUAAAAACCGUACCGAUCACACAGAUUCAUACUAGCAACCAAAUACUACCACAGAGUAUCAGGGCAUGAAAUGAAAACUCGAGGCAUGAAGUCAUUAUGUUAAAGGAAUUAAUUCGCAUUUAAGUCAUUCCCCUAAUAUUGCAUCACUUUAUGAGAACAAGGCCAUGUAAAUGAGUCGAAGUUUUGGUAAUGGAUCAACCAGUUUUACUCGGGUAUGUUACAACGAGAGCAGCCUGCGCUAAAGUCAGGUAUGGUUUAAUUAAAAUGCAUCUUUCGGAUGCACCGUCCUAGCUUUCUGGCUGAGGAUUGACCGCCGGUUCAGUCUCCUCCGUACAGCGGCAGUAGUAUUACAGCUUCUGGUGACAUAACGAUAUUUGUCUAAGAUUAAGCUCUGAAACUGUCUUUAAUGGGACAAAACGUCGAGAAAACGAGACCCUAUAAGUGUAUAGAAGGACAUGCUCAAAAGAUUACUUAUACAAGUUGCAUAACUGUUAUUUAUUUUAUGUUAUCAAAUAACAUACAUAAGUCAUAAGUAUACUUCUGUGUAAUGACAAUUAUCAUUUACAGCAGCAUGGUAGAUCAUGUCUUAUUUAAGUUUUCAAGAUAGAUAGAUAGAUAGAUAGAUAGCCCUGUUACUUAUGAGAUUGAGAUAAAACUAUGAGUAAUGUAACUAGUUAUGGAAAGACAGCUGCAUAUGACAUACUUAAUCAAUCACAAUGAUAUUAAAAUUUUUAUUACAUGCAAAGAAAUCCCUCAAUUGUGAUAGGAUGUUCAUAAGACAUAUCACUCACAAGAUGAAAUGAUUUAGAUUAUUUAUACAGUUUGAAUAUUCAUUCACUUGAGGUAUUUUUUGUGAUUGUCUUUGAAUUGAGUUUUGGCUUCAGCCUGUUAUGCAACAAAGCAAGAAUUAAACUGAACGCAAAACAUUAACUUUGUGUUGUUUACAAACUUGACAAAUGGCAGUAAGCAAUGUUAUUGUAUUUCUGUAAAGUUUCCCUUUAGGUGACAAAGCGAGGCUGAAGCAGUGGCUGGUGAACACAAAACGGCAGGACUGGAAACCAACAGGAUCAUCACGUCUUUGCAGUGCUCAUUUUGAAGAGCAUGCCUUUACUGUGGACUCAAAGGUUAAAUUAUUUCUUUUUUAAUGGACAGCAAUUUUUAUUAAGUUCACAUUUGCAACAAUUUAUUGUUAAAUUGACUAACACUUUGAAUCAUAAAAUGGCGGUUAUUUAAACAUUCCCAAGAGCUGAACACUACAACUAUUGUGUUUCCAUUUUAAAUUACUGCUGUUUUUAUGUUUUCUGAAUUUAGGUAUUUGCAUGUAGUUGUAGUGUCUGCUACCAUCUACUGGUCAUUAUUAGUUAGUGUCAUCAGUCAUUUUCAGUUUAAGUUGGCGCAGCCUGGAGUAAAAAAAACAGGAAUCAUGUUGCAAAAAAAAAUUUGAGUGAUACCACAUGAACAACUUCUUAUGCUUAGACCAAAUGUGCCCUGUUAGAUAAAGGUAACAACACUAGCCAAGUAGUAGUCUCUAAGAAUGCUAACUAAAUGAAACCUUUUAAAUAAUUGGACAAGUAUAUCAAAACCUCUAAAGUUUUCAUGCUGAGCUACCACCUGGUUUGAGACAUAAGUGUCUUAAUGAAUGUAAGUGCUGGUAUUCACAAUUUAAUUGAUGAAUUUCUUUGUGUUUUUCAGACUUCAUCACCAAUCACUGAUGAUAUGGUGGAUUCAUCUGCUGCAGCCUGUUUCCUUUCCACCCAAUGCAACUCCCAAAGUACUAGAUUAUAUCUUUUUAAGUUCCUGGUAAAAUAACAAACAUACAGGUUUUCUGCAAAGGAGUUAAUUAUUUAUAAAUCACAAAUAAAUACUAAAAUGCUAGUGUCCUCUCACAAGUGUCCAUGUCAUGCUAUCUGAUUUACAUUAAUUACAUGCUGUUCACUACACAUAUCGUCAGUUUGUUUUUUCAGUUUUACCACACUUUGUCCACUUCAUGGUGAGGACUCGCACACAGAAAG